rnacentral:rRNA from 1 species
CGUUCCCGGGUCUUGUACACACCGCCCGUCAAGUCACGGGAGUUGGUUUUACCCAAAGUCGCUAACCCAGCCGCAAGGAGGGAGGCGCCUAAGGUAAGGCUGAUGACUGGGACU